UUGACCUCAAAUCAGGUAGGACUACCCGCUGAACUUAAGCAU
rnacentral:rRNA from 18 species